UACACCGGCUACGCACUUGAUGUACUAACAUCAACUUCAUCCUAUCCCAGGUAUAAAGUUCAAAAGUGAAUAUUUAUCUAAUUUUUAUCAUAUUGUUCGUAUCUGGUGAUAAAACAGGGUGGUAUGUGAGGAUAUAACCGUUCCCUUAAACUAGGAUCUGAUAUUCCCUGAAAUGAAGAAAAAUCGAAAGAAAGCCGAUGGGACAGAAACCAAGGUAGACAAGAUGGUACUACAAACCACGAUAUCGACGAUGUGUACGAAACACCAAACAGAUGGAACACAAGAUCCUAAAUCUCGGCGGGUGUUUUGUGAUAGUAUAGUUAAACGGGCCGCACAGAUGGGCUUUACGACUUCAGAGAGCAACAACAACCCAGAAAAGAAACUAGUAACAAUGUGUAAGUACAUUUGUCCUUUUUUCAUGAAGCAUUUACUGGUAAUAAUUCAGGACUGAUAUAAUGAGUCAUUGAGGUAGUUUCACUUAAAAUAUUGAAACUGAAAAUGAAACUGUUUUAUUUGAUUAAACGCCUAUUUUUACGUAAAACAUAUUCAAUGGCGUUUUACAAGUACAUAAAAAUACGUCUAAAAUUUAGACAUUCUAAAUGACAUAAAUGAGCAUAAAUAUCAUUGUGAAUAAACUAUUUAGUAAGCGUUAAACAAAAGAUCGGGCAUCAGAUAAGAUUAAUAAAAAUAUAAGACUAUUAAGAUUACAGUAAGAUAGCUGUUUUGUUAAUAUAUAAGUAGAAGUGGGUUAUUGCCACAUGCCCAUAAGUUAUUACAAACAACUGUAUUUUUGUAUUUCCGAUAAUAUAGUUCAGAUUCGAAUGUAUUUACACAAUAAAAUCAUCCAUCCAUCCGUUCAGUUUACUUCAAUAUCUUAAAAAUCACAGUCACAGUCUCUAAAAG
rnacentral:lncRNA from 1 species